AGUGUUACUAUCCAAAAAGAACAGUUAUUUUUAAUAGGGUUAAAAGAAAAAUAGAACCACCCAAUCACAAACGUUUAUCAUCUUUUCUCUUUCACUCUCCUCUCGCUGCACAGGUGUGACGAGGCUUUCUUGGCGAUGCUUCUAGCGACUUUGAUGGAAAUGGUUUUGGCGAGGAUAGCGAGAUGGAGGCGAGUCUCUAGCCACUCCCUCAAGCCUAAAUCUAAAUCUGAAUUUCAUAAAACUGGUUCUAAAUAACGUAAGGCGUGACUUGGCGGCAAUGUCAAGCCUCAAGCUUUUCCGAGCCUUGGCGAUACAUGACGUUUGUAAGGCGUGACUUAAGGCAGCAAUUUUUUAUAUAAAUAAUAUUUUUAUAUGUAUUUUCAGUUAUUAUUCAUUUUUUAUACACAUAUAUGAGUUAAAGCAACGUUUUGGCAAAGCUUGGCGGCAGGUGAAAGUCUUGGAGUCGUGGCAUGUCAUGGCGGCGGAGCCAUGACGAGCUUUUUACAACCUUGCUUUUAUUUAUUCUUCUUACUCAUAUUUCUAUUAUUUUUAGAUAGUUUAUGACAAGUGCAAUAAAAUUUUAUUAAAUUUAUUAAAUAUGUCAAAUAUCAUAAUCUUAAA